rnacentral:rRNA from 5 species
UAAACGACUCUCGGCAACGGAUAUCUCGGCUCAUGCAUCGAUGAAGAACGUAGCAAAAUGCGAUACUUGGUGUGAAUUGCAGAAUCCCGUGAACCAUCGAGUUUUUGAACGCAAGUUGCGCCCAAAGCCAUUCGGUCGAGGGCACGUCUGCCUGGGCGUCACGC